AUGCUGGCUUUGGCAGCACAUGUACUAAAAUUGGUGGAGUAAUACAGAGAGGAUGAGCAUGGCCCCUGCACAAGGAUGAUGCACAAAUUCCUGAAAAAUAAUUUC
rfam:Canis lupus familiaris chromosome 5, whole genome shotgun sequence.